rnacentral:rRNA from 1 species
AGAGUUUGAUCCUGGCUCAGAACGAACGCUGGCGGCAGGCUUAACACAUGCAAGUCGAGCGCCCCGCAAGGGGAGCGGCAGACGGGUGAGUAACGCGUGGGAACAUACCCUUUGGUUCGGAAUAACUCAGGGAAACUUGAGCUAAUACCGGAUACGUCCGUAAGGAGAAAGAUUUAUCGCCAAAGGAUUGGCCCGCGUCCGAUUAGCUAGUUGGUGAGGUAACGGCUCACCAAGGCUACGAUCGGUAGCUGGUCUGAGAGGAUGAUCAGCCACAUUGGGACUGAGACACGGCCCAAACUCCUACGGGAGGCAGCAGUGGGGAAUAUUGGACAAUGGGCGCAAGCCUGAUCCAGCAAUGCCGCGUGAGUGAUGAAGGCCUUAGGGUCGUAAAGCUCUUUUACCAGGGAUGAUAAUGACAGUACCUGGAGAAUAAGCUCCGGCUAACUCCGUGCCAGCAGCCGCGGUAAU